rnacentral:rRNA from 1 species
UGAGUAACCUGCCCUUGACUCUGGGAUAAGCCUGGGAAACUGGGUCUAAUACUGGAUACUACCUAAUACCGCAUGGUGGGUGGUGGAAAGGGUUUUACUGGUUUUGGAUGGGCUCACGGCCUAUCAGCUUGUUGGUGGGGUAAUGGCUCACCAAGGCGACGACGGGUAGCCGGCCUGAGAGGGUGACCGGCCACACUGGGACUGAGACACGGCCCAGACUCCUACGGGAGGCAGCAGUGGGGAAUAUUGCACAAUGGGCGGAAGCCUGAUGCAGCGACGCCGCGUGAGGGAUGACGGCCUUCGGGUUGUAAACCUCUUUCAGUAGGGAAGAAGCGAGAGUGACGGUACCUGCAGAAGAAGCGCCGGCUAACUACGUGCCAGCAGCCGCGGUAAUACGUAGGGCGCAAGCGUUGUCCGGAAUUAUUGGGCGUAAAGAGCUCGUAGGCGGUUUGUCGCGUCUGCUGUGAAAGCCCGGGGCUCAACCCCGGGUCUGCAGUGGGUACGGGCAGACUAGAGUGCAGUAGGGGAGACUGGAAUUCCUGGUGUAGCGGUGAAAUGCGCAGAUAUCAGGAGGAACACCGAUGGCGAAGGCAGGUCUCUGGGCUGUUACUGACGCUGAGGAGCG